CCUACGGGAGGCAGCAGUGGGGAAUAUUGCGCAAUGGGCGAAAGCCUGACGCAGCGACGCCGCGUGAGGGAUGAAGGUCUUCGGAUCGUAAACCUCUGUCAGCAGGGAAGAACGGUCACUGUGCUAAUCAGCAGUGACUUGACGGUACCUGCAAAGGAAGCACCGGCUAACUCCGUGCCAGCAGCCGCGGUAAUACGGAGGGUGCGAGAGUUAAUCGGAAUUACUGGGCGUAAAGCGCGCGUAGGCGGGAUUUCAAGUCACGGGUGAAUUCCCCGCGCUCAACGUGGGAACUGCCUUUGAAACUGGGAGACUGGAGUGUGUGAGAGGCUAGCGGAAUUCCAGGUGUAGGGGUGAAAUGCGUAGAUAUCAGGAGGAACACCAGUGGCGAAGGCGACCAGCUGGAACAUAACUGACGCUGAGGAGCGAAAGCGUGGGGAGCAAACAGGAUUAGAUACCCGAGUAGUC
rnacentral:rRNA from 1 species